rnacentral:rRNA from 1 species
UACGGAAGGCAGCAGGGGGAAUAUUGCACAAUGGGCGCAAGCCUGAUGCAGCCAUGCCGCGUGUAUGAAAAAGGCCUUCGGGUUGUAAAGUACUUUCAGUCGUGAGGAAGGUGUUAAGGUUAAUAACCUUAGCAAUUGACGUUAGCGACAGAAGAAGCACCGGCUAACUCCGUGCCAGCAGCCGCGGUAAUACGGAGGGUGCGAGCGUUAAUCGGAAUUACUGGGCGUAAAGGGCACGCAGGCGGUUAAUUAAGUUGGAUGUGAAAUCCCCGGGCUUAACCUGGGAAUGGCAUUCAAGCUGGUUAGCUAGAGUCUUGUAGAGGGGGUAGAAUUCCAUGUGUAGCGGUGAAAUGCGUAGAGAUGUGGAGGAAUACCGGUGGCGAAGGCGGCCCCUGGACAAAGACUGACGCUCAUGUGCGAAAGCGUGGGGAGCAAACAGGGAUUAGAU